rnacentral:rRNA from 1 species
UACGUAGGGGGCAAGCGUUGUCCGGAAUCAUUGGGCGUAAAGAGCGCGUAGGCGGCCCUGUAAGUCCGCUGUGAAAGUCAAGGGCUCAACCCUUGGAUGCCGGUGGAUACUGCAGGGCUAGAGUCCGGAAGAGGCGAGUGGAAUUCCUGGUGUAGCGGUGAAAUGCGCAGAUAUCAGGAGGAACACCGGUGGCGAAGGCGGGUCUCUGGGCAACUACUGACGCUGAGGAGCGAAAGCGUGGGGAGCGAACAGG